GACGAACGCUGGCGGCGUGCUUAACACAUGCAAGUCGAACGGUGAAGCGCCUUCCUUUUUGGUGGGUGUGGAUGAGUGGCGAACGGGUGAGUAACACGUGAGUAACCUGCCCCCUUCUUCUGGAUAACCGCAUGAAAGUGUGGCUAAUACGGGAUAUUCUGGGUCUGUCGCAUGAUGGGUCUGGGAAAGAUAUUGUUUCGGUGGGGGAUGGGCUCGCGGCCUAUCAGCUUGUUGGUGGGGUGAUGGCCUACCAAGGCGGUGACGAGUAGCCGGCCUGAGAGGGUGGACGAUCACACUGGGGCUGAGACGCGGCCCAGCCUCCUACGGGAGGCAGCAGUGGAGAAUAUUGCACGAUGGGCGGAAGCCUGAUGCAGCGACGCCGCGGGAGGGAUGGAGGCCUUCGGGUUGUGAACCUCUUUCGCCAGUGAAGCAGGCCUGCCUCGUUUGUGGGUGGGUUGACGGUAGCUGGAUAAGAAGCGCCGGCUAACUACGUG
rnacentral:rRNA from 1 species